rnacentral:lncRNA from 1 species
UUGAUGCAGUUGCUGAGUCACAAUAAAGCAAUAUAGUCACUACUUCUUGGGAUAACGGAGCACAUUGAGCAGGUUUUUGGAGUACAUUCUGGUAACUCUGCUUGAUAAAUUUUCACAAGAACAGUUUCAUCCUCUUGCUUGAAGUGUAUUAGGUCAUUGACUAAUAACUUAUAAGUUGUCAACAACAAGCAAUUGCAUUUUACACAAGAGGUUAAUUCACAAUUUUUGUCAGUCAAGGAAGCAGUUUUUCCUUUUGAAGUUCUCCCCUAGGUUGUGAUGAGAAUCUAAGCGCUGAGCUGAGAUGCAAAAUGCUGGUGAUGUUAAGGGUUUUGAUUUUUUUACUCUAGGUAAAAUACUUCAUUUACUAAGGUUCAAAUCUUUGCUGAUAAGUAAGAAGUUACCACUAAUGCUACUGUGUUUCUUAGCUUGAAUGACUCAAUGUUAUUAUGAAGAUUACUGUGGUUUUUUGUUGAAAUCGGAUUUCAGAUUGUUUCUAAUGUGACACUUUGAAUGAGAAAAAAACUCUUUUGUCUGGUGACAAGAAUGCUGAAGUUGCAAGAUGUCAAGGCACAUUCCGGUGACAUGAUUGGAGACACUCAGCUCAUGGUUGACACUCUUUGUCUGGCUCUUGGGCCAUGGAAUACAAGGUUCUAAUAACGUUUGAAGCAAUGUCAAUGGCUUAAGCGACAAACAAACAGCUUUAAAAACAUGUAUCAGAAUGAUUGGUCUUCACUCUUCAGGAAUUCAUUGAAGACAAGAGUUCAAAUAGUGACAACAUUUGCAGACAGCCUCAUUCUCCCUGAAAUGGCAAGGUGAUAGAUAACAGCAGUAAGCAUUUGUGUUCAUCUUUGUAUAUGGUACUGAUUAUAUGUGCUCUUGCAGUCUUUUUGGCUUCCAAAAGUUUUUAGUUCCUGAAAUUUCUUUCGUAUAUAUAAAAGAUGGAUUAUAUGACAGUAAUUUUUGUCUUGGGAAUUUUGCAGUCUUUUAGCACUUUCCAAGUUUAAAAAUCUUAGAAAUUUUGACUGGUAAUAACCAUUUCAAGUUUAAAGUCUUGGGACUCAAAUUGGAUGCUACUGCUUAUGUACAAAGUUGUUAAGCAUUCACAUCUCACCCAGUCAAGAAAUUCUUUGAUUUAAGAGCAAGAAAAAAAAAAAUCACUUCCCCCAGCUAUUUAGUCACAGCAUAGAUUGUAUUUUACAACAUCUGUAACAUAUUUUAAUGCAUAACACACUCCAAUGUUAAUUUUUCUUUACAUUUGCAUAUUGUGUGAACCCUGUCUUCUUAAGAUGAAUAGACUAAACCAGUCAACAUUCAUAAACAAAGACAUCAUCACUGUAUAUUGAAAAAUCACACAAAUCUUUGAGCUACUGGAUAGCUUAUUUAUCACUGAUUGUUUAGUCUACCUAAUCUAAUUAGCUCACUCAACUAUUUCUAAUGGUCAUUGUUGAAUAAUCAAGACAACACGUCAUUCUGCAACAGGGUUUUGAUGUUCUGUUUUUUUGGUGAACAUUAAAGACUUUAGACUUGAGUUGAGUUACCAAUUAACAACUUGUCUGAACCUUGAAUGUUGGCUAAACUUUAGAAGAAUUCUAGUACAUGUAUGGAUGCAAAAAUAAAUUUAGUCACUGAUUUGCAAAUGGGGAAAAAAAGACAAAAAGUUAAGACCAACUAAUCUAAAUCCAUCUCUUUAGGUAUCUUAAGCUUAGGAUCUGAUGACAGUGUCAACUUCACCCACUUCAAGAUAAUAGUAGAAACUAGAGAGUGAACAAUUGUUUCAGCGUUGCUUUGCCUUUUAUUGAUCUUUCAGUGAUGGAUUUCCAUGCACUUCUACAAGAAAUUAAAAUUGAUUUCUAAAUAGUGAUUUUUUAGUACUAGUAUAUUAGGUCAAAUAACUACUAGGUUGGAUUAGUGAUGAACAAUUAGAAUAGUUCACUCGGAAUUACAGAUUCAAAUCUUGAUAUUGUCAUUGUACAUAAAAAAAAUCAGUCCAGGUAGGCAUAGAUUCCUUCAAAUACUUUAUGACUCUCGUUUCAUAUGUGUUGUGAAUUGUGUUUCCAGCCAAUUACAACACUAAUUCUAAACUGAGAUAAGAAAAUGUUGAAAGAUUUCAAGUUAGCAGCCAUAGAAAUAUGAUGGAUUAAUCAAAUAGUGACACAUAUACCAUAAAUGGUUAAUGUGUUGAAUCCAAAAUCAAAUCAUUCUUAGCUAGACUUUAUUUGCUUCUAGAAACACAGGUAGACCAAGUCCACCAUAUGCAAAAAAUGAUAGAUUGAAGCAUUUCAUGAAAAUGGUAACACAAUGACUAAUCAACCAACUUCAGUCUCUUCACCAACAUGACAAAAAUUUGACAUUCCAAAAUGAUCAAAUAAGAAUAUCAUUGUUGUCUUAAAAAAAUCAUUGUCAUAAGUAGAAAACUUUGUAUUGUAUGGAUUUAGCAACAAUAAUGUGAUAUCUAUGUUCAAUAACAAAAUUGGAUCAUAUUGCAACUAAGUAUCUUAACUCAACUUAAUAAAAAAGAAUAUUAUUGUUUAAUUGAAAUUGAAAUAAAAAUGAAAAAGAUUAUCCCAAUUUGAUUAAGGAACUUGUAGUAAUUUGAAAUUUAUGUCGUGGUCGCAUAAUUAUGCUUAACAUGAAAAAAUUUUAUAAAAAAAAAACUUAUCUCGUGAUUCUAGUAUUAUGUGGAUGAUUUUCAAAAUAUAUUAAUUAUUGAAAAUAUAAUACAAUAAUACAAUAUAUUUUUUUUGGAAAUUUACAUAUUUAACACUAUAAGAAAAUCAUAAAAUAGAAACCAAUUUUUAGAGGCCAAAAUAAAUAGUUGCAAUAGUAACUAAAUUAGAGACCAUUUUAGAAACUAAAAAAAAAUAGUUUCUAAAUUAGUUUUUAUUAUUGUUAAAUAGUUUCUAAAUUGGUAUCUAAUUAGCAACCAAAGUUUUAACUACCAAUUAUUUAGUUUUAAAAUUUGGUAGCAAAAACCUUGGUUGCUAAUUAGAUAUCGAUUUAGAAACUAUUUAACAAUAAUAGAAACUAAUUUAGAAACCAAAAUUUUUUUAGUUUCUAAAAUGGUCUCUAAUUUAGUUACUAUUGCAACUAAUUAUUUUAGUCUCUAAAAAUUGGUUUCUAUUUCAUAAUUGUCUUGUAGUGUAAAAAUUGUUUUUUCUAAGUUAGUUUCUAAAAGUUAUUUUAAAUCUCAAAUAAAUAUUUUUUUUUUUGGAAAUUUACAUAUUUGAAAAUUGUUUUUUCUAAGUUAGUUUCUAAAACUCAUUUUAAAUCUCAAAUAAAUAAUCAAUGGACUCACUUCAAAAAGGUAAAUUUCUCUUACUAGCUUUUACUUUCCAUUUACAAUCUCAAAUAAACAAUUUUAGCUUUAUUUUCAAUUUGCGAUUAGUAUUUGUUGAAACAAAAUAAUUGAGAGAUAUAAUCGAAAGAAACAAAAUGUUUUAAUCCUAAACCUUUUAGUUAAACGUGGUCAAUAUUUCUGUACAUUUAUAGCAAUGUACUUUUUUCGUUAACCUUAAAAAACUUGUAUAUUUAUUUCUUAUUUUUUAUCUGAUCAUUUAUCAAGUAAAUAAAAAAUUUAAAUGCAACUGAGUACAUUUUUAAAAAAAAAAUUGAUAACUAAAUAAAAUAAAUAAAAACUUUGAUAAUAAGGACAAAAAUAUAAGGAUUAAUUACCUCUAAUUUUACUUUAUCUUUCUAUCACAUCAUAUCACUUGUAAUAUUUAUAUAUAUUUUUUCAUUAGGUGUUAUUUAAUACUUGAGGCAUUUAUCUAUUGUUUUUCAAACCAUUAAACUCUAUUCCUAAUCCAAAAGUAUCCAACCAAAACAUUUAUGAUAUUAAAUAUUGGUAUGUAAUAAAUAUUCUGCGGUGUUAGUGCUAUGUGCACAACAUGCUAAUAUCCAUAUAUUUUAUAAUUUAUUAACACGAAAAUGGCAUUUGGAAACAUUUUUUUGCACAUUAUCUUUCCAGGGUUAAGCAAGAUCCAAAUUAUUUAGCAAAAGUGUUAAUAAAAAAUAUCUUGAAAUUUAAGUUUAAUUCAAUUUUACAAUUUACAUUUAGUUGAUAAAAUUUCUAACACAAUUUUAUCAAUUUAUACGUGAAACUAUAUAAUUAUAGAUAAUCUGAUAACAAUUAAAAAACUCUUAAUAUGAUAGGUUAUAAGUUACUCUGAUACUAUGAUACUAUUUUAAGAAGUGAAUUUAAUAUUUUAAAGAAGUGAAUUUAAUGUUAACUUAAUCUUAACAAGAAAAUCGGAUUAAAAUGGUGUUUAAAGCAGAGUUGUUAGUGAUUCAUCUCUUGGAGUUAUGCGUCAUGAUCCUCGCACAAGUGAAUAGUGUGAAUAGUCAAAGUUUAUGAAGAUUUGGUCAAGUCUAGAGAAUGUUUCUAAUCACUGGCAUUAUAACUCGCUGCCCUGUGCCUCACGACAUGUUUUUUCACUCAUUUCAGCUAAGACCAACCAAAGGACUUCUCAUUUAUUAAGCAAGCAGAGGCAUUGAGACCAACUUUUCAGUGUUGAAUUCGGUAAUUCAAAAGCAAACAAAGGAUGAGGAUGAAUGACACAUGUUGUAAUGCUGUUCUGAUACGACCAUUCAACACAUCAUUUUUUGUUUAUAC